rnacentral:lncRNA from 1 species
UCCAUGAACGAAGAGUGGGUAUGCCGUAGAAUAGUAUACAGCAGGGAAAAGGAAUGAAAUACUGCCUUGCGUGUCAGGCAUGCAUGAGUCUCACCGAUAGAUGCUGGGAAAGAAGCGAGGCACAGAUAAGAACACAUUGUAUGCCUCUAGUUAUAUAAAGUUUUAAGUCAGACUAACCUAAGGUCAGAAGAGUGGCAUACUUCGUGGGGAAGGAAAUGGCCCUGGGGGAAGCAGGAGGGAGCUUCUGGGUUGCUAGGAAUGUGGUUUUAAAAAUUGAAUUGAAUGAUAUCUAGCAAAUUAUCUGACCUCUGAGGCUUUGUUUUUCCAAACGUUGAAGGGACUGAAUGGCCACCCCAGCUUCCUCCAGCUACCCCAAGGCUGUGUGAGAAUGCCCUAGGGCUGGGCGUGGGGAGUGUCCCCAAAACCUGAGCGGGUCCAGAAACCUACACCUCCCCCUGGACCUGAGAUCCCCAGGGGGCUCCCAACACACAGACCUGUCGACCUUGAAAUCGUUUGUUCUGGACAGGCAGCCGGUGCCGCUCCGUCCGGCCUCAUGUGGGCAGGUGUUUGCCUGGCAAAUGACCCAGUACCGGAGAUACAGCACAGCUGCUCCUGCUCUCUGCCUGGUUCAGUGGUAUACUGCUAACAACCUGCCGUCGGAGAGAGGGGAUGGAAAUGCCCCGAUUUGUGGUAUCUGCCAAUUUCCAGGGUGUAAAUUCUCCCACCACAGCUAAUUUCAAGCUGCCAACACGACAUCACUGAACACGGUGUUGGGAAGACACGGGCACAGUUGGUUCUAUGCUGGGCAUCACGCAAGGCCGUGCACAUAUGUGACUCCAUCAAAUACUCGCCACAGUCUUGUGACACAUUUCCUUCUAACCCCACUUUAUAGAUGCAGAAACUGGGGUGCGGGGAGGUUGGGUCCUUGCGUGAGGUCCCAUAGCUAAGUACAGAAGUAUUUUCUAGGGAGUAUGGGGGUUCUGACCCCAGGAGUCUGGGGUCCCCUCACACACCAGGCUGGUUCAGCCAGUCAACUCCUCGCUCAGGCUGCUCUGCCAGGAACUCAGGGCCUGGCUCCUGUAGCGCCAUGUUCGCCCAGACUGCUCUCUGCUUGCCAGCUCCAGGACGUGCUCUCCCAGAAAGGGGGCUUGGAGAAAAGGAGGCGCAGAUUCUGAUUCUGACCCGUCUCAACCAGCCCUGCCCCCAGCAGCCUAGCCUUUAGCGCCAGUGCCCCUGAGGAGCCCCUGCCCGUCCCUAAUCCCCUUGUGACCAACCUGGUUAAUUCCAGCCCCUGCACUCACACCUCGGGUGGACCACAGGUCACAGGCCUGUUCCACUCCCUUCCCCUCUCCCCCUAGACCCCAGGGAGGGGACUUGAGAGAGCCUGAGAACUAUCAGGGCUCACAGCUGAGAGCUGAAUGCAUCCCCUGGGGAAAUUCCCAGGACCUCAAGAAUCCCUAGAGGGCCACGGCCCCCAGAAACAGACACUUGGUUCCAACUGCAAACACCAAAGAAAAUAAUCACUGACCGGGGCAGUCAACUCACUGAGCUAACUGCCUGCUCCUGGGUCUUGGGCCAGUUACCUGACAAAAGGCCAACAAGGCCAACCACGUGCUUCUCCUCCCACCCUGUCUCCACGGCCUCAUCCCCUUGAACCCCAGGCCCUUUCCCUCAGUGGGGACCAGGGAGGCAGGACAUGAUGAGGGUAUUUAAGGGCCAAGGCCACGUUCAGGACCCAGGAGAUCUAUGCAUUCAAUCCAGGACGCCAAACAGUCAGCUCAGAGGUACAUGGCUCUUGUAUGAGAAAUGAAAGGAAGGCUCCUCACCCGGUAGCAUUUUAACCUUGUCCAUGUGAAAAGCAAUAAUAACAGCAGUUGUCACACUUUCCAGGUCCUACUGUGAGCCAGGCGCUUCUCCCUCUCUUAAUCGUGGCUGCUGGUCCUCACAGCCUAAGGAUCAGGAUUCAGUGCCAUUUGGUCAAAGGGGAGCCAGGGGUGCGGAGGGUGAGCUGACGCCUGGUUCCCGCACCAGGAAAGAGCACCAGCUUGUGUUCCCUGCUGUUCUCGGCUGUGCCCACAGCCACCUCAGCCUUUGUCCUCCUGCUCACGGAAACCGUGAGAGAGGCAGAGCUGGUAUUGGAAGGCUGAAGCACUGACCCCUGGCUCUCCGAAGGCCAGGAGCAGAACCAAGACAGUAACGUCAGCUUCCCAGCCUCCAGAGUGACCUCUCUGCCCCCACGAAGGAGUGGGUGGAGUUCGGUUUUUCCGACCAAGACUUGACCUUCAUUAAAAAGCCGAGGGUUUAAAAGGAAGCCAGCACACCCUCAGCUCUGGCCUCCGAGAGGAGUGACUCAGUGGGACCCUUUCUCACAGGGGCACAGGGCUCUCGAGCAUGCAGGGCCCUUCCUCAGGCACUGUUAAGUCUGCUCCAACAAUAAGCCCGACAGGAAUUAUUUACCCAUUUCACAGAUAAGGAGCCUGAGGCUCUGAAUAGUGGUAUGUGGCCUCUGAAUGUCAAAUAGCACCUGCAGCCCUAAGAAGAGGCAUGUCAGCAGGCAGCCUGAUGACAAAUGUCACAGGGCCGCACACGUCUGAAUGCCCUUGGUCCAAAAGGCACUAAUGAGCUGGGGGGAAGGGCAGGAACUUGGGUACCGCUGGGCCCUCGGGGUCAGGGGUGACACCAAGACCUGAAUGGGCUGGUUGUGUGGGGAGCCCCAGGAAGCCGCGGCUGGGAAGCCACCACCAGGCUUCUCUCCCAGUGCACUAAUUGGAGCUGAGCUGGGUCAGAGGGGCCACGGGGCCCCCCCAGAGCUGGUGUUUGGAGCCAGGCAGGGGGCAAGCAGGCUUUGUCUCUCCUUUCGGCUCUUUGUCUCUGACCUCAGAGCAGAGGCCUGCACGAGGUUGCCCCUGGGGGCCUGGAAUCUGAGCUAAUGAGCCAACUUCUGGGCCCCACCAGUCCACUGUUAAUAGUAUGCCAGGGCAACAGGUGCAAACCAGGUCUGUCCCAACAAGACUAUACAGUCGGCAUUGUCCCCACUUAAAAGGCAAACCAAGGGUCGGGGAGAUUGCACCUUGCCCAGAGACAGGAGGCCAGAGGCGGGACACAGACCCAAGUCAGAUCUGACUCCAAUUUUGCUCCAGCCUCUGGCAGCCUCUCACAUAGUCAUAUCUCUCACUGACCAACACUCACCCCAGGCCACACUGUGCAAGCACUUUGCAUUCAUUAUCUCACUAGAGUCUCAUAAUCAGCUUAAGAAAUGGGACAAUGAGCAUCCCUUUUAGAGAUGAGGAAAUGGGGCACAGAAGGGCUCAGUAACUUGCCUAGAGUCACACAGCUUGGACUGCUAGAGCAGGGAGGACAAACCCAGACAGUCCAGGAAGUGUGUGAAGGACGCUGGUGUGUGAGCACCAGAGCCAGACCAUCUUGGAAACACGCUGCUGUGAAAGGCGGUGAAGGUAGGGGAAGAGAGGGUGACACACAGCCAAGUGUUGAUCUUGGGGGACUUUCUAAAGGAGGCAACCACUAUCUAAAAGGAGGGGCUGGUGUAGAAGACCAUGGCGCCACCUCCAAACUCCUAGCCCUCGCAGCCCCCCAGCAGCUUUGCAGAAAAGUGCACGUUCCAGGUUUUGGCAUCCAAACCUGGAGGGUCGAGCGCUUGUGUUUCCACAGCAACCCAUCCUUAACAGCAUCCAAUAAGGACAUUAUUUGGCUGCAGUGAGCACACAGGAUCUUUUCAUUACCGCUGAAGCUGCUGAGAGGCAGCCCUCUCCCUCACCAGGGGCCCCACCCCACCUUGGGAAAUGCCCCCCAAAAAGUGGGGGGAUGGUAAGGAAGGAAGAGUCACCACACAAGAGAGGGGGAAAUAGGGGGAAAAAAAAUCAAUGUUUGCAUUAACAGAGUUGCCCGUUCAGCGUUUCUCCUCUUUUAUAGAUUGAGAUAACAUGCUCGUCCGGGAUAUCUUCAUUUCCCAGAGCAAAGAAAUUAAUUACACACUAAUGGCGCGAUUCAGAAAUUAAUUUGUACUACCGUCUCAAAUAUGUCAUUAUUAAUCCAUUGACUGUAUGGGGCUGACGGGGAGAGGUGUCCGCUAGGGGUGGGGUGUUCAGGCUGACCUGAAGCUCGACUCACAGGCUGGGGUUGGAGGUUGCAGGCUGAGGGGCCUAGGAAUGGUGCGGGGAGAGGGGGUGGCUCUGGGCCAGUCCUCAGGGAUCUCGAGUUUCCCAUAUGCACCCUGAGGAGGGUGGGACUUGAGCAGAAUUUCUCAAACCCUGGGUAACUACAAAGUUUCUUCAGCAUAACAGUGAGCAGGAUCCAGCAUCCAAGACACAUGGGCUCAGGCCUGGAGCCCCUCAACUCUGUUCCCCAAUCUCCCUGGCUAUGGUCCCCAAGCCCUGCAGAGCACAGUUUGAAAGCCUUGAGGGGUGGGGAGGGCAGAUCAGAGAGGCUCCAAGCCCCCAGGCCUGCCCUAGCCCGUGUGUCUUCAACAGCUGGUUCUCUAGGGUGGGACCCCAGGGAUUUUUUUUUUCCUUUUUAUGCACCCACAGCACAUGGAAGUUCCCAGGCUAGGGGUUGAAUGGGAGCUGUAGCCUCCAGCCUAUGCUACAGCCAUAGCUAUGCAGAAUCUGAGCCAUAUCUGCGACCUACAUCGCCCCUAGCUCACAGCAACGCCAGAUCCUUAACCCACUGUGCGAUGCCAGGGAUGGAACCCGCGUCCUCAUGGAUACUAGUUGGGUUCUUAAUCUGCUGAGCCACAGCAGGCUCCGGGGAUUUGCAUCCUUCAGGGAGGCAUCCCUGAGCCCAUCUUGCUCACUUCUGCACUUUCAGUGCCUGGAGCAGGGCCUGGUGAUAGCAGGUGCUCCGUUAGUGUUGUAUGGUGGCCAAUGGAUUGGCUAAGGCGCCAGCCAGGAUAGAAGAGCCACCUUGAAAUGCAGGCAUCCUGACUCCAGUGCCCACACUCUCACCCACCACCUACCACCCUGCCACGCAGUCCUGGUUGACAAUUGCUGUUCCUCUCUCAUGCUUAACAGUCUCCAAAAGCUUUGAGCUUACGUGGCUUGAUCCAGGGUGGUGGGAAGAGUGCACGUCAUUGUUCCCAUUUGACAGAGGAGGAAGUGAGGCUCCCAGAGGCCACACCAGCACUAGGCAGGCUGGCUGGGGUGGGGGAGGGGCACUCAUCUGACAGCAUCUGGCCCACUUGGCCCAGCCCCCCUCUGAAGGGAUAGACCAAAGACUCCAACCUGUGUGCAGAACAGGUCAUUAGACUGAUGGUGCUCCAGAAGAGCCGCAGGGUCAUGUGGGACCUGAGAGUUAAAAGGAGCAGCCCCAGAGUUCCCGUUAUGGUUCAGUGGUUAAUGAAUUCGACUAGGAACCAUGAGGUUGCGGCUCGAUCCCUGGCCUUGCUCAGUGGGUUAAGGAUCCGGCAUUGCUGUGAGCUGUGGUGUAGCUCACAGACACAGCUCGGAUCCUGCAUUGCUGUGGCUGUGGUGUAGGCUGGCGGCUACAGCUCCGAUUAGACGCCUAGCCUGGGAAUCUCCAUAUGCCGCAGGUG